AAUGAGAGUUUGAUCCUGGCUCAGGACGAACGCUGGCGGCGUGCCUAAUACAUGCAAGUAGAACGCUGAGGUUUGGUGUUUACACUAGACUGAUGAGUUGCGAACGGGUGAGUAACGCGUAGGUAACCUGCCUCAUAGCGGGGGAUAACUAUUGGAAACGAUAGCUAAUACCGCAUAAGAGUAAUUAACACAUGUUGGUUAUUUAAAAGGAGCAAUUGCUUCACUGUGAGAUGGACCUGCGUUGUAUUAGCUAGUUGGUGAGGUAAAGGCUCACCAAGGCGACGAUACAUAGCCGACCUGAGAGGGUGAUCGGCCACACUGGGACUGAGACACGGCCCAGACUCCUACGGGAGGCAGCAGUAGGGAAUCUUCGGCAAUGGACGGAAGUCUGACCGAGCAACGCCGCGUGAGUGAAGAAGGUUUUCGGAUCGUAAAGCUCUGUUGUUAGAGAAGAACGUUGGUAGGAGUGGAAAAUCUACCAAGUGACGGUAACUAACCAGAAAGGGACGGCUAACUACGUGCCAGCAGCCGCGGUAAUACGUAGGUCCCGAGCGUUGUCCGGAUUUAUUGGGCGUAAAGCGAGCGCAGGCGGUUCUUUAAGUCUGAAGUUAAAGGCAGUGGCUUAACCAUUGUACGCUUUGGAAACUGGAGG
rnacentral:rRNA from 1 species